CUGCGAGCGCUGAGCACUUGCGGGUCUGCGGUUUCCGCUGCAACCGCUGCCGCCGCCGCCUCCCAAGCGCGCUGGGCCUGGUGCCGCUGGUGGCCGGGUGAUGUGAAGCGGCUCCCCGCAGCGCGGCCUAAUCGCCGGGAUGUGGCUCAAGCCCGAGGAGGUGCUGGUGAAGAAAGCCCUGAAGCUCUGGGUGGCCCAGAAGAGUAGCGGGUACUUCUUGCCGCUGCGGUGCCGCUGGCACGGCGAGGGGAUCGGUCACCUCACCGCCGCUGCCGCCGCCUCCUCCUGAGCUAGCAGGGCCAGGUGUGGCCUUGGCCGCGGCGAUGUGAAGCGGGGGCCCCCAGAAGAAAGGAAAAGAAGCCCGAGGAGGUGCUGCUGAAGGACGCCCUGAAGCUCUGGGUGGCCCAGAGGAGCAGCGGCUACUUCAUCCUAGGGCGGCGAGGCGGGCGUUAGCCUCAGCGGUCGCCUGGUGGGUGCUCUGGACACAGUGCUGAAUUCCAACACACAGGUCUCUCCGUUUUGAAUUGUGCUUCAAGUUCCUGGCUCACAGGUGUACUCUUCCAUAGCAUGUGGAGAGUUACUGCAUGGAUCCAAUGUUUACUGGGCCAUAGCCACUGUUCAACUUGUAAUCCCUUGGGUUGAUAUCCAGAUAUUGGAAAGGAUAUCCAAUGUCUUUCUGGUGGACACCAUCCGGAUCACCAUGCAGAAUAAGGAGCGUGACUCCUCCAUGUUUCUGAUCCUGGAUGCGAUCUUCAAGAUCAUGGAGCAGCUGGUAGAUGUGAUGCUGCGGAGGCUGCUGAAUAAUGAAGUCUGGAGUCAGAUCUGCAGGAGCCAAGCCAGGUCACCAAGAGGCAACAGCACUCUUUCUUUGACUGGUGAGAUGUCCUGAACCCACAGUAAGUCACUUCUCUCCACUAUUGGAUGGACCCACUUACUCUUAAGCUCUGACAACCUGAAGCAGUUCAAAGUCUUCUGGAUCCUCCUCAUUGAGCAAGUGUUCAUCUAAGGCCCUGCAUUUGACCACUGGUGCCCUAUCCUGGUACAUCACCUGAUCAGGGUUGGAGAAAUCUCAUCAGAGAAUGAAUUUUGGAGUAGCCACCCAGAGGACAAUGGUCAAAGUCAUUCAGGAAACAGCUUAGCUCUUAAUACAAGGGCACCAUAUGUAAUCAUGCUACCUGGGGCCUUCAAGAGUUCAUGUGGGAUCUUCCUAUGUGCUUCUAGUCCCGUCCUAGUACAACAGUCAGGUUGUCCUUGCUAUGCCCUUCUGAUAAAAGGGUACAAAGACCUAACAGCUUUCUACAGACACACUAUGGCCCAAUAAGAUGGGAGGAAUGGUCCAGUUUGCUCCUGUAUCCGAUCUCUGCACCAACAGUCAUGCUCCCUUUGUGGGUGUCCCAGGCAGGGACCCAGAGGCUUUAAUCCUAACAGACAGGGCAUAAAACAGAAUCAGCAACUGGAGUAUGCUUGUGACUCUUUUAUGAUAGCCAGGAGACUGCUAGCCUCCAGGGCCCCAGUGCUCGAUUGAGUGUAAUGAGGUAUGGACCCCACUGAGGCAAUGUUUGAACACAUGGAGAGUUAGAGCUUAAACCCCACACCCAGAAAAAUUCUGCAAAGGGAGCAGCUAGCUCCCUAUUCAGGUCUAUGCAAAGCAUGACACUUAUGUUUUCUUCAAAAACCUCAGUUGUCUGUGACCUGCAAUAACCUAAACUCUUCAUGCUAGGGAGGAUCCCUUCCAUUCCACAUAUGCCUUCCAACACACAGGAGUUAUGAUUGCUGCAUCCUUGCACAAACCUUCAAGUCUCCAACUCACUUAUCUAGACACCAGGCUUCAGAGAGUGCAGCCUGUACCCUAUAUGUUCCUCUGACCUCAUCUGAGCACAGCAAACAACACUGCACUUGCAGAUUGCAAAUCCCACACCCUGCAGGCCCACUCACACCUGGAGCUGGGGCAUGCUGCUGCUCUCCCUCAUCUCAGGUCAGCUUCAUAACACUGACCUCUGACUUCUUUAUUCUCUUCAAUCUUAUUUGACCUUCCAGAAGCUCUAAUUCAAGAAGGCAGGCCUAGUCCAAGCUGUCUGCUAUGUUCUCUGCCUUCCCCAGUGAGGACACCCAGGGGAUCUCCUGCUAAAUGGCUCACCACGAUGCUCUUAUACUUCCUUUGCCUUUGAUUUUCUAGAUGGACAUGAAUGGAGCAGCUGUCUCCCACUCACUGUUUGUACAGAGGUAUUGUGGAACUCAAGCAGAGACUGGAAUUGAGCUCUGCCUCUGGGGAUGGUGCUGCUCCUUCAUUGGCCACCAGAGCAGUUCCUUGCUGAGGCUCUAGCCCUGGGGUGGGCAUUAGUAGUGAUCCUGUAGCUGGAGCAGAAAAGAUUCCAACAUGAUAGCCUGCCGUGAGCUUUGCAAACACAGGCAAUCCACCCUGUCUUCCACGAAUAUCUCAGCCCAUAAGCCCACACUGGACCUCUUCCCAGACAGGGACAUGGCUCGAGUGGACAAUGGUUUCUCUUUGUUCCCCGCCCAACACCAGUCAGAUUCCACCCUAUGGGACCAAACUCUAACCUUUUUAGACCCUUAUGUACACACCCCGGGCUUCCUGUCACUCAGGCUCUGCCUCGCUGGACUUGCCAUCCUCCAGCUGGGCCAGCAGAUGGUGUGCUUGGCGCUCCAGAUUCAAGCCACCCAUGUACAGUUGAAGGUAAGGCAGCAGCAGCUGGAGAAUCAUGAGGCCUGGAGGCUGAUGGAAAGCCUUGCUGUACUGCUCCAUCCAGUUACCUGGGUUUUUCGGCACGGCACUGUGAACAAGCAGGUUUGCAGUCAGCAGAAGCCUGGACUCUCUUACCCCACAGCCCCCACCACCAAAACUGGUCUUGGCAUGCUCUGCCUUUCCUGUCUCUUCAUAGGCCAGCCCACCACAGCCAAGACAUGGUGGCUGUACACACAGUGAAAGGACAACACUCUGGGCAAAAACUUACACCCAAAGAUGUUUAGAACCAUGGCAUGACCAGCUCUCCAGUCCUCAGGGGAGGCCACACACUCUUUGUUGUUUGCUACAUCCUCUCCAACCUGAAAAACAAAAUCCAGAAGGGUAUGUGCACAGGUCCAGGACUAGCAUGGCUCCAGGGACACCUCAUUCCCUGGCUUGGACUACUUUGCUUCCUCAUUCUCUGUGAGCUCUCAUUGAGCCCUCACUUUUGGCCACAUUCCACCUCAAGUUGAUGAUGGUCUCUUGGUCUACCUUGUUCACUGGGGUAGGACAAGAUGCAAUCCUGUCUCAAGGAGGAACGGAUAGUGACACAUGCUGAAUAUUUAUUUCUGAUACUAUCAAAUGAGAAAAGAUAGGAGAUUUUUACCACAUUUUCAACUGAAUUGUGCAAAAUGCCUUUCAACAUGUCUUCCCACAGUGGGUGCUUUCUCUAUGUUCAUCCAAGAGUGAGCCCAAACAGCUUCUUCACAUAUAUCUCACUGGGCAUGGGAGCUACCAGCCCCCAACUGUCUGGCUGUAACUGAGUAGUGAAGUUCUGCCCCACAAUGGUAUCUGGAACAUUCUUUCUAAUGUAAAAGUGCUUUCCCCAAGGCCUAAAGAAAGUGAGGCCCCUAGCACAGAGCUUCUUCAUGCAUGAAGGGAACAUCCCAACAGAAAGAAGCCCCAGUCCUCACUGAGCCCACAUGGAAGUGAACUGACUACACACCUUAAAACACUAAAGCCCAAUGUGUGUAGGCUGCUCCACAUGCCUCUGUGGACCAGUUGGUGAGAGAGGGAGGUUUCGUCUGCCUGAGAAGGCGAGGUCACUCUCCACCGCCACCCACUUGGUGUUGAGAAUAUACUAUCAGCUUAGUCCUCUGAUCCCCCUAGGUCUCACAAAGCAUUUGGUUCUCUGAGAGAUAUAUGGCUUCCUCAAGACCCAAGCAUGAGGUGGCUGUACACUUUGUCUCGGACGUAGUCUUACCUUGGGAAGAGCAGCACCAGCACUUGCUGUUUGGUGAUGAAACCUGAGUAAAUAGACCUGAAGGUGCUGCCCCAGUCGGGGUUCCUACCAAAAAGACAGGCAUGAGCUGGUUCAUGAGCUCUUCUUAUCUGUUACCUUCAAGGGUCUCUAUCCCACAGGGCUCAUCUGUGGUUGGAACCAAUUCAUUUUCACCUUGGUUUGGGACCAAGAAUGGUGGGAUCAAAAAUGGAAAUGGUAGCAAACAGAAAAAUGCUUUAUCCCAAUACAAUGAAGUAACAGCAGAAUGGGACAGUUCUCAUCAGCACAUACACACACACACACACACACACACACACACAGAGUCAGAGUAUGAGUGGUGGGCCAUUCAUGAUGGGUCAUAAAUGAGGUCCUACUAUGCUCACCUGUCCUGUGCUGCUCAGUGUUGCUGUUGAGCUUCUCUGGGAAAGUGUCCCAAGACUCUGGCAUCUAGGAUGAAACCUCACUCUUUUUUCUCACACAAGACUACAGUGACACCCCUGAGAUUCCUGGGGGCCUGAGACUCGACAUUUUUUGAAACAGCAAGAGAACAUCCAUCUCGCUCCAGUGUCUCCAACCGACUGAGCAGGGAUGGCUUGCUCAGUGAAGUGGGUGCGUGGUUACCAGGGUUCCAUGUUUCAUUUGAUCCAUCGUCAAGGUACUGAGGUCAUGUCCUCCUAUGGUGCCUCUGCCUGAGCCUCUUAUUCACACACGACUACUCCCAAAACCCCAAGGGCUGCCAAUUGCUCCCACCUCAAUCCACAUCAAGUGCACAACUGAACACAUGUUCACCAACAACUACAGCCACCAGACCCGGCCCACCUUGGCUCCCAACAGAGUUCCAGUGUGAGGAUUCAAAUCUGAAUUCACAAGCAGACCCUCCUUCUCACCAUGUGUGACCCUGGACCAAAUGUUGUGCCUCUCUUGGGCUCUUCAGUGUCCCCUUAUUUGACCAUCAGGCAGUGUUCUUUAAGAAAAUGCCCAGGAAUUCAGCUCGCCCAAAUGCUUUACUGGUGCUUGAAGAAUGCAAACUCUUCUGAUAGGAAAAGGUGUCACCCUUUGCUCCACACUAUGUCACUUGUGUUUCUCCAACAAUGCUCAGGGACAGUGCCAUUAUUGCUAUCUUGAAAGUACAGCAAUAACCUGGAUGAAAUGAGAUAAGCAAGAGGCCAUUAGCCUGAAAUUGUCUGUGUACUUGGAUCUCCUGCUUAAUGGACCCCAACCUAUCUUGAUCUGGAAACAUUGUUUUUUAUUUUAAAUUUUUUGUAACAAAUAACGAUUUUAGCCAGUAAUGAACACCCAACCUUCUUCCUACUGAGGCAGCUAACUGAUCACAGCAAUCCCCCAAAGUGGCAAGCACCCAGGCAUUAGCAGAUUAAGUGACCUUCCACCCUGGUUUCUUAUUUAGUCUGUAAAAAUUCACUGGUCACACUGCCAGUCAGAGUGUUCUAAACUUCUCUUGCUCUGAGUGCUUCCAGAGUCAUGACUCAUUCUUCGCUCAAAUAAAUUCUGUUAAAUUGACUUCAUCUAAAGUCAUUCUCUUAACACAUGUGUAAUAGUAUUGUCAAAGCUUUCAAGGACCUAGCUUGGACCAGAUCAAGAAAAGAGUCAGGCAGCUGACUGGCUGGAACCACAAGAUCUAGGUGGCACUAAAACAGUAGAAGCACAAGCAGUAACAGACUGAAAUAGAUAAACUGGACUUUGUCAGCACUUGAAAGGUUUAUACUUCAAAGGAUACUGUCAAAAUGAAAAGACAAACCAGCUUGCCAAUAACUCUUUGAUAAGAGACUUGUAUUCUGAAUUUACGGAGUACUUUACAACUCAGAAAUAAGACCCAAAGUCUUCAUCCUCCAAAGAUAUACAAAUGCCAAUAAUAAAGAUUCCCAAGUCCUUGGUCAUGAGGAAAAUGCAAAUCAAACCUACAAUGAGAUACCCUUUAAACCUGCUAGGAUUUCUAUACUAAAAAAGAAGGACAGUAACAAAGUGAGAAAGAAUGCCAAGAAAUUGGAACCCUUAUACAUGGCUAUGUGGAAUGCAAAUUGGUGUAGCUCCUUUGAAAUUAUCAGUUCUUCAAAAGACAAAGCAUAGAAUUGUCUUAUGAACUGGGUCUGGUGGCACGUGCAUGGAAUUUUAGCGACUCUGAAGAUUGAGAAUGCAGGAUAUCCAGUUCAAACCCAGCCUCAGCAACUUAUUGAGACCCUAAGCAACUUAGCAAGACCCUGUCUCUAAUAAAAUAUGAAAAUAAAAAAAAGGGAUAGGGAUGUGGUUCCCAGUUCUUAAGUGACCCCGGGUUCAAUUCCUCCUAAAACAACAACAAAAAAGAACUCCCAUAUAAGUCAGCAAUUCUCCUAGGUACCAAGAGAAAAAAAGCAUUUCAACACAAAUACUUUUCAGAAAUGUUCGAAACAUCAUUAUUCAGCAUAAAUCAAAAGGGGAAAAGACCCAAAUGUUCAUCAAAUGAAAAGGUAAUAAAAUAUGACAAAACCAAACAAUGAAAUAUUAUUUGGCAAUCAAAAGGAAUGAACGUUGAUUCAUUCUACAACAUGGAUGAAUCUUAGAAGCAUGCUAAGUCAAAGAAACCAGACACAAAUCAAAGGUUCCAUUUCUAUGAAAUUUUCAGAAUCAGCAACUCUAUUGAAACAGAAAUAGAUUAAUGGAUGCCAGUAGCUGAGGAAGGGCUGAAUGGGGAGUGACUGUCCCUAGGUCCUGGGCUUCUUUGGUGGGAAGAUAAAAGUGUUCUGGAAAUAGAAGCAAGUGCCCUGGCUCAUGCCUGUAAUCCCAACAACUCAGAAUAUUGAGCAACUCAGAAGGAUCACAAGUUCAAGGCCAUCCUGAGAAACUUAGGGAAACCCUGUCUCAAAAAAUGAAAAGAAAUGGGAGUAUAACUCAGUUUUAGAGCACUACUGGGUUCAAUUCCUGGUAGUCCCCCCCACACACACCAAUUACAGAAUUAGAUGGUAAUGGUGUUUUCACAACUUUAUGAAUAUACCACUAAAUCACUGAGUUGUACAUUUUAAAAAGGUGAUUUCUAUGGUAUAAGAAUUAUGUCGUGAUGAUGCUGAUUUUUAAACAUAUCAUUAGAAUAUAUGUGAUGUAGGGUGCCCUCACUCCAGCAUUCACACAAGAAUCUUUACACAACUGGCAAAGGGAAACAAAAUUAAAGAUCAACCAGUGUGCCAUUUCUCAGCAACGCCAGUGAAUUACUACUGAGCAGUUUUAGUCUGUGUUCUGGUAAGUUUUCUGAGCAACCUCAGACACACCCAUGAGUCUGACACCAACCAACUGACAGCCCCCUGAUGUCAGGCAAAUCAUUGUGUGGGUUAGUGCUAGGAACAGAGAUGAGUGAUUGGUUUUAUAAUCUAAAUUGUAAACUCUUGAAUAUUUUUGAUAGGAAAUUGCCAAACCCAAAAACUACCAGAAAAACAAGAAUACAGAGAUGUAGGAAAGUAUUUUUGAUGUGCAAAGCUGAAGAAAGAACAGGUAAGUAUGUUUGGAACAUAUCUUUGGAAUGUAAUCCAGGUAGACUCUCCAGCAAUAAAGAGCAGAAAUAUGGUGAAUUGAAAAAUAAAUGUAAGAAAAAUGUAAAUGUCAGAUGUGGACACAGCUUAGCAGUAAAGUAUAUGCUUAGCAUUCACAGGGACCAGGGUUCACAUAGGUACAUACACUCAAAACCUCACUUACAAUAUUCAAAUGGCCAGGCACUGUGGCACACUACUCUGAACCCAAGCUACUUGGGAGGUUAAGGCAAGAGGAUAGCAAUUUCGAAGUCAGUCUUGACAACUUAGUAAAACCCUAUUGAGAAUAAAAAAGAUGGGAUAUCUUCCAGUGGGAGAGCCCCCUGUGAGUUCAAUCUCUAAAACCACAACAAAAAUUUUGUUUCUAAAUUGUGAAUGUCAUUUGCAACCUGACAAUGUCUGAGUCCCAUGCUCAUGGAAAAGGGCAAUAAUGAAGAUGUUCACCAUCCUACUGUCUUCUGACCAACUUUUGUGUCCUGGGAAAGUGGCUAACUCUCAUUAUAAAAGAAACCACUCCUUCUGUGUGACUUAGAUGAGAUUUGCUGCCUAGUUUUUCUCCUGAUGCUGUGGGCCUUGUGAUUGGCUCUCCUGUCUACCUGCUUCAAUCAACAAAGUCCUCUUCCUUUACCUUGAGGAACCCCUCAUUCAGGAAUGCUCUUUCUCUUGCAACACUUUGACUAAUCACUCCUUAAUUUUCCAGUGCAUUUUUGUCUUUCAGAGGCACAUAAUAAAUCCUUCAUUUUUAAUGUGCAGAAAGAAGUGUACAAAUUUAUUAGCAGACAAUCUGCUCUUUCUACCCCAACUAAGAAAAUGCUGAUAAAAUAUUUAAAGAAUAUCAGUUUCAAGGGGUGCCAAAUAAUUUGCCUUCUAUUGGGUUCCACAAUUAGUGUUGUCUUGACCAAGUGCCUGAGAAAAGGACUGUGGAGCUGACAUUUAUUUAUUUAUUUAUUUAUUUAGUCAUUUAUUUAUUUAUAUUUGGUACCAGGGAUUGAACCUGGGACACUUAAAAACUCAGCCAUAUCCCCAACUCCUUUUUUAUUCUUUCUGUAGAAACAGGGUGUUGCUGAGUGGCUUAGAGCCUUGCUGUGUUGCUGAGGUUAUUAUUGAACUCUCAAUCCUCCUACCUCAGCCUCCAGAGUUGCUGGGGUUAGAGGUGUGCACUACUGUGCCCAGCUGGAUUUGACACUUUUGAAGGAAAAUUCACCUUUGUGGUGACAAAUCAAGGAGUUUGUAAUUGGGGGGGGGGCAAAACCUCUUCUCAACUGAGAAAUAAAUUUAAUUUCAAGGUUUAUGGUUCAUAUUAAAAUGUCUAGGAUCAUUUCUCCAUUUGCAGAGGUCUCCAAAUGCCAGGUGUCUAGUUUUGUCUAGAUACAACUCUUAUUUCCAACUUCAUGUUAUAUCCAGAUUAUCAUACUUUCAUCUUAUAAAUCAGAGAUGGCAAAUAAAUGAAAAUACUCUACAAUGUCAGAAUUUAACAGCUCCUUCAACUUACUCAGCAGCGACAUUGUGAAUAUACGCCUUCUUACCUGUUAACAGGGUACAUCAUUGAAUCAUUUGUAUCCUUCCAUCAGUUCCUGGAUACCACUAGUCAUCUAAUAGGAAGCUCAGGGACUCACCUAUCAUUAUUUGCUGGAAUCAUCUUUAUUUCCCCCAUAUUGAACCAUGGGGGUUUCAGGAAUACAUAAUUGAACAAUACUGCACAUAUAUGAUCCUGUCUUCUGUGACUUUUCUGAAGGGGAUCCAAACUGGUCCUGGCCUGGGUCAAAGUGAUUUGGAGAUGUGUUGCUUUAUGGAAGAAUGUGGAAAGUCGGGUCUGAGGAAAGGGUGUGAUCCAUCUUGGACACUUCCUGGGAUUCCCAAUCUCAGCAGGUUCACAAUUCAAUUUCAGGCCUCUUCUAUUGGCCAGAGUAGAAAGAAUACUACUUGCCACAAUCUGCCAGUGGAUGUUUCUGUUUUGCUCAUGCUUUGCUCAUGCAAAUCCUCAUAUACUUGUCCUGGUGUAUGUGUGUCACCUGGUAGCAGGAAGAGAGAGAAACCUGUGUCAAUGACUCUUAUAUAAUUAUUAAGAAUAAGGGAUUAGGUGGCAUGACCAGAAGAUAUCUGACCUGGGGGAUCUUAGCUUGAGUCCACAGCUGUCACUUCUGGGCUGGGAGAUGCUUGACAAGUCAUUUCCCUGCUUUGAGUCUGUUUUUCUUCAUUUAUAAAAUAAAGGGACUGACCAGGUAUGAAAUUGCACACCUCUAGCCCAAAGAAAUGAGAGAGACUGAGACAAGAGGAUCAUAAGU